GUACUCGCUUCGGCAGCACAUAUGCUAAAAGUGGAACGAUACAGAGAAAAUUAGCAUGGCCCCUGAGCAAGGGUAAUACGCACAUUCGUGAAGUGUUCCAUGUUUUU